GCUCCGGUGGUGUAGUCCGGUUAAGCAUCUCGCCCUCUCAAGGCGAAGAUCACGGGUUCAAAUCCCGUCCGGAGCA
rnacentral:tRNA from 1 species